AAUUUUGGACAAUGGGCGAAAGCCUGAUCCAGCAAUGCCGCGUGCAGGAUGAAGGCCNNNGGGUUNUCAACUGCUUUUGUACGNAACNAAAAGCUUUGGGUUAAUACCCUGGAGUCAUGACGGUACCGUAAGAAUAAGCACCUGCUAACUACGUGCCAGCAGCCGCGGUAAUACGUAGGGUGCAAGCGUUAAUCGGAAUUACUGGGCGUAAAGCGUGCGCAGGCGGUUUUGUAAGACAGAGGUGAAAUCCCCGGGCUCAACCUGGGAACUGCCUUUGUGACUGCAAGGCUAGAGUACGGCAGAGGGGGGUGGAAUUCCGCGUGUAGCAGUGAAAUGCGUAGAUAUGCGGAGGAACACCGAUGGCGAAGGCAACCCCCUGGGCCUGUACUGACGCUCAGACACGAAAGCGUGGGGAGCGAACA
rnacentral:rRNA from 1 species